UACGCAGGUGGCGAGCGUUGUCCGGAUUUACUGGGCGUAAAGGGAGCGUAGGCGGACUUUUAAGUGAGAUGUGAAAUACUCGGGCUCAACUUGAGUGCUGCAUUUCAAACUGGAAGUCUAGAGUGCAGGAGAGGAGAAUGGAAUUCCUAGUGUAGCGGUGAAAUGCGUGGAGAUUAGGAAGAACACCAGUGGCGAAGGCGAUUCUCUGGACUGUAGCUGACGCUGAGGCUCGAAAGCGUGGGGAGCAAACAGG
rnacentral:rRNA from 1 species